UCUUUUUCUUUUUCUCACCCGUGCCCUAAAACCCACACCGCCAAACUCCUCUUCUCCCACUUCCCUCUUCCGGUCUUCCUCGCGCCACCCCUCUCUCUCUUCCCCGAUCCCUUCGCCUUCCCCAACUCGACGACGCUGAUCGGCCAAGGAAAGCCUUAGCUUGAGCCCUCUCCCGAUCCCUCUCGCUCGCGAAGUCCCGCUCUCCGCGCCUCUCUGCAUCGUCUUCGUCCGCCACAGCUCGACGCUGCCGACCAUGGGAGAUCUGGUGUCACCGAAUCCCUCUCUUUUGCGAUCACGUUGUGCCAUCCUCGGUUGAUCGCUGCCAUCACUGAUCUCUCCGUCAUUUCGAUCGUGCCGGCACCGGGUGUCCAUUGCCAACCGAGGCACCUUCUCCACCGAUCGCUAGAGUUCUUCCGGUGGUUGUUCUCGUCCCCGAGUCGCCGCCCUAGUGCAAGUAGGUUAUCUACCAAGAGGGGAACCCGAGCCCUCUCCCCGAUUCAUUGGUGCGGUGCCCUAGCCUUGAUACACCGCCGCCUCUGCGAGGGCUGGGCCGACCAUCACUGGAGCGACCGAGUUUCCCAUCUCCUCUCCCGAUCCUUCACCAAUCUCCUUCAUCCCCUGCCCUAGCUCCAUCCAUAGUUUUUGAUAGUAGCUAUCUUGCUGUCACCUUGGAGGGUUAUUGUCUUGGAGGACCAGCGAUUUCAUUUAGUUCCGGCCACAGCACCGUCGACAACCAGUUGCUGGCUCUACUAGUGGCUGGUUCGAGUUGUGCCACCAUGGAUCGUUGAAGAAGAAGAGGUUAGCAUAUAAAUAUGUCGUGUCGCUUGGAGUAUCCUGUCUGUCGGUCCCACGUCACAUCAGAAGACGGUUUACCUCGCUCUUGAUUUCUUUUUAUAUAUUAUUUAUUGAUUUAGCAUUGUAUUGAUGUUUAACCAUGUAGCUAUUUCGUUGUUUUGGUAUUGUAUUUGUGUUGAAGUUGUGCCGGCAUGCAUUGUGUUGUUUUAGUUGUAUGGGCUUCCCGUUUGUUUUUC